GAUGAAGAACGUAGCGAAAUGCGAUAAGUAAUGUGAAUUGCAGAAUUCAGUGAAUCAUCGAAUCUUUGAACGCACAUUGCGCCCGCCAGUAUUCUGGCGGGCAUGCCUGUUCGAGCGUCAUUACAACCCUCAGGCCCCCGGGCCUGGCGUUGGGGAUCGGCGGAAGCCCCCUGCGGGCACAACGCCGUCCCCCAAAUACAGUGGCGGUCCCGCCGCAGCUUCCAUUGCGUAGUAGCUAACACCUCGCAACUGGAGAGCGGCGCGGCCACGCCGUAAAACACCCAACUUCUGAAUGUUGACCUCGAAUCAGGUAGGAAUACCCGCUGAACUUAAGUAUAUCAAUAAGCGGAGGA
rnacentral:misc_RNA from 1 species